ACAUGCCUACAACAUAGCAUUAAUACACUAGAUCCCAUUAGAACUUCGCAGUUAAGCACAUUCAGGCUAGAGUAGUACUGGGAUGGGUGACCACCCGAGAAGUCCUAAUGUUUUACAUGCC
rnacentral:rRNA from 1 species